UACGUAGGUGGCAAGCGUUGUUCGGAAUUACUGGGCGUAAAGGGCGCGUAGGCGGCCAUCUAAGUCAGACGUGAAAUCCCCCGGCUUAACCUGGGAACUGCGUCUGAUACUGGACGGCUUGAGUAUGGGAGAGGGAUGUAGAAUUCCAGGUGUAGCGGUGAAAUGCGUAGAUAUCUGGAGGAAUACCGGUGGCGAAGGCGGCAUCCUGGACCAUUACUGACGCUGAUGCGCGAAAGCUAGGGGAGCAAACGGG
rnacentral:rRNA from 1 species